ACACUACUGACGCUCAUGCACGAAAGCGUGGGUAUCGAACAGGAUUAGAUACCCUGGUAGUCCACGCGGUAAACGAUGAUAACUAGUUAUCCGGCCAGAUUGAUGGUUGGGUGACCGAGCGAAAGCGUUAAGUUAUCCACCUGGGGAGUACGCCGGCAACGGUGAAACUCAAAGGAAUUGACGGGGGCCCGCACAAGCGGAGGAACAUGUGGUUUAAUUCGAUGAUACGCGAGGAACCUUACCCGGGCUCAAACGCAAGGCGCUACACCCUGAAAGGGGUGGUUCUUCGGACGUCUUGCGAGGUGCUGCAUGGUUGUCGUCAGCUCGUGCCGUGAGGUGUCGGCUUAAGUGCCAUAACGAGCGCAACCCCCAUCUUCAGUUGCCAUCGGUUCAAGCCGGGCACUCUGGAGAGACUGCCGGCGCAAGCUGUGAGGAAGGCGGGGAUGACGUCAAAUCAGCACGGCCCUUACGUCCGGGGCGACACACGUGUUACAAUGGCGGGGUUACAGCGGGAAGCCACGGGGCGACGCCGAGCCGAUCCCGAAAACCCGUCUCAGUUCGGAUCGGAGUCUGCAACCCGACUCCGUGAAGCUGGAUCGCU
rnacentral:rRNA from 1 species